UACGAAGGGUGCAAGCGUUGCUCGGAAUUAUUGGGCGUAAAGGGUUGGUAGGUGGUCUUGUUUGUCUAAGGUGAAAUCCCAUGGCUUAACUGUGGAAGUGCCUUAGAAACGGCAAGACUAGAGUCCUAGAGGGGAUUUGUGGAAUUCCCGGUGUAGCGGUGAAAUGCGUAGAGAUCGGGAGGAACACCAGCGGCGAAGGCGGCAAACUGGAUAGGCACUGACACUCAACAACGAAAGCGUGGGGAGCAAACAGG
rnacentral:rRNA from 1 species